CAGAGGUCUUUGCUUCCCACUACAGCUCACUGAAACAUAAAUUUCUCCAAUAUCUCCCCACUCAUCCUUUAGUCAGGAAAUACUCCAAUGAAACAUAGAACACAGCCUAAGGUACUACACAUCAGAAGAAUCACCAACCUCUUCAACUGUGCUCCUCUAGUGCUCAGAAAAUGUGAUGUUAAACAGAGUGGGGUUUGACGUAUGCUGAGAUCAGAGAGCAAGAUGCACACUGUAUCAUGACACCGAGGAUCUUGUGAGGACAUUUGGCAUCUAUAAUACACUAUCUGUAUGUGAUUUAAGUCACUCCCAAAGGUCCAACCCUUUUGCUUACUUAUUUUGUGCUUUUUAUGCAAAGUGUGACUUGCAUGUGCAAGCAUCAGUUUGUGGGAUCAGAUGACUUAAGGACUAUUGCCUAGAGACUUCCAAGAGUUUUUUGCAGUCUGUACAGGUGCCCUUUUUCCUUCAUGGUCUUCUACAUCCAACUAGAACUGCUUAUUUUUUUAGUUCCAGAAGUUUCUGGUUUGAUGAUGAUGGUGACUGUGCAUCCAUCACCAUUGUGCAUACUGUGUAUGUAAUGUUUAAAGGGAUUAAACUUUGACAAUACUCUUUCCUCAGGUCUCACAACACUGUAUGUAAAAUAAAGGAGUAUGAACUAUUUGGCACCCCUAGUAUGCACAUAUUUUACUGAAAUUUUACAA